rnacentral:lncRNA from 1 species
GAAGAAGAAUUUUGUACUUUUUCUUAAAGAGCCCCCAACAGCCGAUUGUAUAAACCAGCGAUUCCCAAAGUGUGAACCCUCUCGAAGUGGAGGCCAGCAAUUUGCCCCGUAUCUCAGGGGAAUUCUUUAGAACUGCACAUUCUCAGCUUCCUGUCCCAGGAGAUUUAGCUUCAACUCUGAGCAGCGGCACCCUUCCCUGCAAGGUGAAGUCUAAACCCUUGUAACUAAUUUUAUACUGGUAACUUCAAAUUCUCUGUCUUAAAGGGCACACCCAAAUGGUAGCCUCAAGACCUCCACCUGGGGGGCUCCUGGGGGGGCUCAGUCAGUUCUAUGCUGAGCUGUGCCGACAGCUCUGAGUUUGGAACCUGCUUCAGAUUCUGUGUCUCCCUCUCACUCUGUCUCUGUCCCUCCCCCGCUUGUGUGCGUGCUCUCUCUCAAAAAUAAAGAAACAUUAAAAAAAAAAUUUUUUUAAUUAAAAAAAGAAAAAAAGACCUCCACCUGGAUCCACACUUCGUCACGACUUUAAAAUGUGCCUAUUUCUUCCCCUAACACUGAGCUCGUUUCUGUCUGGGCAACUUGGUGUUUUACGCAAACUUUAUGAUAUUUCUAAAAUGUUUGAACUUGACAGGAAACCACACGAUCAUACGGCUCACCCAGAGAGAAGGAUUUGUCUAUGCAGCAGGAAGGUGUGGGCUGUUUUGCAUUAUGAGUGAACAUUGCACGCUUUUGCCAUACCCUUGGGUAAGUGCUUACAUGUUCAGAACUGGGUAAAUAGAAAUGCAUUAGACAAGAACAGCGGUGACUUAUGUUUUGUUUUUUUUUUCACCAAAUUUAAAUGUUUGGCAAAGAAUUUGUUGAUUUGAAGGCUUAAGACUUAAAUCAUUAAGCAGUCAAGGAUGGAAGAAGUUGGCUUUAUCAUCACAGAGAAUACUACAGAUGGACUAGAGGUACUCCUGUCUUUACAGUACUGAAUCAGAAGGGCUAUAUUCAAAAAAUGUUUUUUAUAUUUAUUCAUUUUUUUUAAGAGACAGAGAGUGAGAGAGCAGGGGAGGGACAGAGAGAGACACACACACACAGAACCUGAAACAGGCUCCAGGCUCUGAGCUGUCAGCACAGAGCCCGAUGUGGGAUUCGAACUCAUAACCCUGAGAUCACGUCUGGAGCAGAAGUCAGCCACUUAACCAACUGAGCCACCCAGGCACCCCGGGGUGUAUUUAAAGUAGGGCCAGUUUCAUAGGUAGCUGGGGUGAUGUCAUCAUAUGGAUUUAUUGAAAGGUCCGCCUUACCUAUGACAAGGUACUAAUCUUACCCACCUUCUUUGGCAGCUAUCCAUGCUUAUCUAAGCAAUUGUAGUGUUUGCUUUUAGAGGGUCAAGCAAUGAUGGCCAAUAGUUUCCAUCCGAAAGAAGUGGUUACUUGGAAUCCUGUAUUUAGAUUUGUAAGGUUGCAUCUGGGUUUAGAGGGAACAAAUGUAGGAUUGUCAGACAGGACCUGGGAAGGGUUGUCUUGGAUCUAAGACUUUAUUUUCAGAAGCCAC